rnacentral:piRNA from 1 species
UGAAGCUGCAGACCUUCGUGGUGAGUGUU